UACGGAGGGUGCGAGCGUUAUUCGGAAUUACUGGGCGUAAAGCGUGCGCAGGCGGCCCGUUAAGACAGGUGUGAAAUCCCUGGGCUCAACCUAGGAAUUGCGCUUGUGACUGGCGGGCUCGAGUACGGUAGAGGGGGGUGGAAUUCCUGGUGUAGCAGUGAAAUGCGUAGAGAUCAGGAGGAACACCGAUGGCGAAGGCAGCCCCCUGGGCCUGUACUGACGCUCAUGCACGAAAGCGUGGGGAGCAAACAGG
rnacentral:rRNA from 1 species